rnacentral:rRNA from 1 species
UUCUACGGCCAUGCCACCCUGAACAAGUGAUCUCAGAAGCUAAGCAGGGUUGAGCCUGGUUAGUACUUGGAUGGGAGACCACCUAGGAAGAUCAGGUGCUGUAGGCG